UAGCGAUUUCUUCGACGCGGGUCUAU
rnacentral:sRNA from 1 species